rnacentral:rRNA from 1 species
UCGAGAAUCUUUCGCAAUGGGCGCAAGCCUGACGAAGCGACGCCGUGUGAGCGAAGAAGGCCUUCGGGUUGUAAAGCUCUUUCGCUAGGGAACAAGAAAGGCGGACUAACAAGUCGCCAAUUUGAUGGUACUUGGUAAAGAAGCACCGGCUAACUCCGUGCCAGCAGCUGCGGUAAUACGGAGGGUGCAAGCAUUGAUCGGAAUUACUGGGCGUAAAGGGCGCGUAGGCGGCUACAAAAGUCAGAUGUGAAAUUCCGGGGCUCAACCCCGGAGCUGCAUUUGAAACUCUGUGGCUCGAGUGCAGUUAGGGAAAACGGAAUUCCACGUG